UAGGAUAGAGGCCUACCAUGGUGGUAACGGGUAACGGGGUGUUAGGGCACGACACCGGAGAGGGAGCCUGAGAAACGGCUACCACAUCCAAGGAUGGCAGCAGGCGCGCAAAUUACCCAAUCCCGACACGGGGAGGUAGUGACAAUAAAUAACAAUACGGGGUUCUUUAGGAUCUCGUAAUUGGAAUGAGUACAAUUUAAAUCUCUUAACGAGGAACAAUUGGAGGGCAAGUCUGGUGCCAGCAGCCGCGGUAAUUCCAGCUCCAAUAGCGUAUAUUAAAGUUGUUGCAGUUAAAAAGCUCGUAGUUGAAUUUCGGGGUCAGUAGGUCGGUCGUGCCACUGGUAUGAACUGGUUUUACUGAUUCCUCCCUCUUGAAGAAAUGUAAUGCCAUUAAUUUGGUGUUGCAGGGAAUCAGGACUGUUACUUUGAAAAAAUUAGAGUGUUUAAAGCAGGCUUUAGCUUGAAUACAUUAGCAUGGAAUAAUGAAAUAGGACGUUUGAUCCUAUUUUGUUGGUUUCUAGGAUUGACGUAAUGAUUAAUAGGGAUAGUUGGGGGCAUUAGUAUUCAAUUGUCAGAGGUGAAAUUCUUGGAUUUAUUGAAGGCUAACUACUGCGAAAGCAUUUGCCAAGGAUGUUUUCAUUAAUCAAGAACGAAAGUUAGGGGAUCGAAGACGGUCAGAUACCGUCGUAGUCUUAACCAUAAACUAUGCCGACUAGGGAUCGGAUGAUGUUAAUUUUUUAAUGACUCAUUCGGCGCCUUACGGGAAACC
rnacentral:rRNA from 1 species